AGUCUGAACGCUGGCGGCGUGGCUAAGACAUGCAAGUCGAACGGUGUAGCAAUACACAGUGGCGGACGGGUGAGUAAUGAAUCGCUAAUGUACCCCGAUGUCUGGGAUAGCCAUCCGAAAGGAUGGGUAAUACCAGAUGAGACCACAGAACCGCAUGGUUCGGUGCUCAAAGGGUCACCGCAUUGGGCGCAGGCGAUUUCGAUCAGCUAGUUGGUGAGGUAACGGCUCACCAAGGCGACGACGCGUAGCCGGGCUGAGAGGUCGGCCGGCCACAUUGGGACUGAGACACUGCCCAGACUCCUACGGGGGGCUGCAGUAACGAAUCUUCGCAAUGCACGCAAGUGUAGACGGAGCGACGCCGCGUGUAGGAUGAAAGUCCUGGAUGUAAACUACUGUCAGGAAAGAAAGUACUGAUCUAACCCUACGAGAAGAGGACGGCUAACU
rnacentral:rRNA from 1 species